ACUGAAAAGGAAGGCAAAUGGACAGAAUGAACAGGGCAGAGCCAAGAGCCCAGAGGACAUUUCCAGGUGACCAUAUGGAGCCCUCAGCAAGGAGCCAGGCACCCACCUGGACCUCAGGACCGAUGGGAGCCUCUACCCUUGCCCCUUAGGGUUGGUGGUUGCUCGGUGGUUAGUCCACACUGGUCCCAGCACGCCGUGUGGAAGCUCGAGCUGCCCAAAGAGAGGCCUGCGUGGAGAGGCACCCACCGCCAGGCCCGCCUCUCCAGCCCUGCGGGUGCACCAUCUUGGAAGCGGGUCCUCCAGCUGGAGUCCACCUGCCCCAGCUAACACCGGGGGGCAGAGACAGGUUGACUCCUCCAAGUCCUGCCCAGAUUACAGAUCCCUGAUCCGGAUGACCUUUCCUUAAGUCAUGAUGUCUUGGGAUGGUUUGUUACACGGCGGUGGACAACCGAGGCAUAUAUAGGACAGUUCCCGGCACAUGGUGGGCGUUCAGUGAAGAUUAGCUGCUAUUCUUAUUUUUAUCCUUCUUAUUAUUUUCAUCUAGAAUAUCAACAUCAAAGAAGUUGGUCUGGCAGAAAAUAUCAACUUCCAGAGACCCACGGGCCCAAAUCCCCUGGGCUGCAGCACUGGACACAUCUCCCCCUCGGCUUUGUGGAUGAGCUUGUUGAGACAUCAAAGUUUCAUGCUUUCCUAAAAAGAACGGGAACAGGGGGCCAAGGGCCAUCCGGUGUCCCCACUCGGAGCCUCUUGCAAAGGAAAGAUCAGCUGCCAGGGGAGCCCCAUGGCGGGGAGAGCCGUGUGGCCGUGAGGUAAUCAGCCCGCAACGUUAUUAUCAUUAUGCUGCUAAUUAAUUCCCAGCUCAUUACAUUUCCUGUGGCUAAUUUGUACUCGGGCUGAUUUGAUUAAACUCAUC
rnacentral:lncRNA from 12 species